GACGUAGGGCGCAAGCGUUGUCCGGAAUUAUUGGGCGUAAAGAGCUCGUAGGCGGUUUGUCGCGUCUGCUGUGAAAACCUAAGGCUCAACCUUGGGCUUGCAGUGGGUACGGGCAGACUAGAGUGCGGUAGGGGUGACUGGAAUUCCUGGUGUAGCGGUGGAAUGCGCAGAUAUCAGGAGGAACACCGAUGGCGAAGGCAGGUCACUGGGCCGCAACUGACGCUGGAG
rnacentral:rRNA from 1 species